CUUGGUCAUUUAGAGGAAGUAAAAGUCGUAACAAGGUUUCCGUAGGUGAACCUGCGGAAGGAUCAUUAGUGAAUCUAGGACGUCCAACUUAACUUGGAGUCCGAACUCUCACUUUCUAACCCUGUGCAUCUGUUAAAUUGGACUAGUAGCUCUUCGGAGUGAACCGCCAUUCACUUAUAAACACAAAGUCUAUGAAUGUAUACAAAUUUAUAACAAAACAAAACUUUCAACAACGGAUCUCUUGGCUCUCGCAUCGACGAAGAACGCAGCGAAAUGCGAUACGUAAUGUGAAUUGCAGAAUUCAGUGAAUCAUCGAAUCUUUGAACGCACCUUGCGCUCCUUGGUAUUCCGAGGAGCAUGCCUGUUUGAGUGUCAUGAAAUCUUCAACCCACCUCUUUCUUAGUGAAUCUGGUGGUGCUUGGUUUCUGAGCGCUGCUCUGCUUCGGCUUAGCUCGUUCGUAAUGCAUUAGCAUCCGCAACCGAACUUCGGAUUGACUUGGCGUAAUAGACUAUUCGCUGAGGAUUCUAGUUUUACUAGAGCCGAGUUGGGUUAAAGGAAGCUCCUAAUCCUAAAGUCUAUUUUUUGAUUAGAUCUCAAAUCAGGUAGGACUACCCGCUGAACUUAAGCAUAUCAAUAAGCGGAGGAAAAGAAACUAACAAGGAUUCCCCUAGUAGCGGCGAGCGAAGCGGGAAGAGCUCAAAUUUAUAAUCUGGCACCUUCGGUGUCCGAGUUGUAAUCUCUAGAAGUGUUUUCCGCGUUGGACCGCACACAAGUCUGUUGGAAUACAGCGGCAUAGUGGUGAAACCCCCGUAUACGGUGCGGACGCCCAGCGCUUUGUGAUACACUUUCAAUGAGUCGAGUUGUUUGGGAAU
rnacentral:sRNA from 1 species